CCCCUAGAUGUUCUGGGCCGCACGCGCGCUACACUGAACAGUUCAACAAGUCUUAACCUUGGCCGAUAGGUCUGGGUAAUCUUUGAACGCUGUUCGUGAUUGGGAUAGACCUUUGCAAUUAUGGGUCUUCAACGAGGAAUUCCUAGUAAACGCAAGUCAUCAGCUUGCAUUGAUUACGUCCCUGCCCUUUGUACACACCGCCCGUCGCACCUACCGAUUGAAUGGUCCGGUGAACCUUUCGGACCGGCAAUGCCUCGUGUUGCGCCGGAAAGUCAAGUAAACCAUAUCACUUAGAGGAAGGAGAAGUCGUAACA
rnacentral:rRNA from 1 species